UUCGUGCAUGCUUCUAAAUUAACUAUAGAAUUUUUUUUUUUUGAAACAUAAGCUAACUCUUCGUCUCUUUAGCUCUCUCUCUUUCUAUAUCUUUCUCUUUCUCUCUUCUUACUGAUGUGAUCAUUCAUCUUCCCUAAAUAAGGAAACUGUUUCUUUAUUGACGAAAGUUCUGAAGAAAUCAUGUGACAUAUCCUUUGAUUCAUCUCUCUAUAAAUGUGAAGAAUACAAGUAUUUCACUCGCAUAUGCUCUGCCGUCGUGUUCCGUAAGCCUCUGCUCUACUCCGCCGCCGUAUUCCCGUAAGCCUCUGCCUUCGCCUCUGCUGUCAUCAUUGUAAUCCUCAUCUCCACCGCCGUGCUCCUGAAACCUCGUCUUCAUUCUUCUUCUCAUUUUAUAUCCAUUCGAUGUAUGAUUUGUUUCGGCACUGCGUUUGGUCCUUACUGUUUUUUUUUGUGUGGUUGCUUUGCUUUAUCUUCUUUUUUUUUUGUUCGUGUGAGAAAUGGAAAUUUGUGAUGAAUCUGAGGAACAUUAUCUAUUUUUUUCAUUUUCGUGGCUA